GGGCAGGUGGUUCAAUCCGGUAGAACACCCCGUUGGCUUCGGGGAGGCUGGGGGUUCAAAUCCCCCCCUGUCCA
rnacentral:tRNA from 1 species